UCUCAUCGUGUGACACAUUUAACUUAAUUUCUCGGUAGUAGCGCACUGCUAUUGAUAAUAUUGCCGUUUUAGAUGUUGUCAUACAUUGAGCUUUCACUCUGACAUAAAUUGUCAUUUGCCUUUAGUGUCCCUUUAGGUACAUGGGUGUCGUU
rnacentral:lncRNA from 1 species